rnacentral:lncRNA from 1 species
GUGCAGCGGCUACAGUCCCGAGUGGAGGAGCUGGAGCGCUGGGUGUAUGGGCCAGGCGGGACCCGAGGCUCUAGGAAGGUAGCUGAUGGUCUAGUCAAGGUGCAGGUGGCUUUAGGGAACAUUGCCAGUAAGAGGGAGAGGGUGAAGAUUCUCUACAAAAAGAUUGAAGUCCUGAUCAAAUACCUGGAUCCUGAGUACAUUGAUCGCAUUGCUAUACCUGAGGCCUCGAAGUUGCAGUUCAUCUUGGCAGAGGAACAGUUCAUCCUCUCCCAGGUGGCGCUCUUGGAACAAGUGAACACCUUGGUGCCGGUGCUGGACAGCGCUUCUAUCAAAGCCGUUCCUGAGCAUGCUGCCCGCCUGCAGCGCUUGGCGCAGAUCCACAUCCAACAGCAGGACCAGUGUGUGGAGAUCACUGAGGAGUCCAAGGCUCUCCUGGAGGAGUAUAACAAGACUACAAUGCUUCUCUCCAAGCAGCUUGUGCAGUGGGACGAGCUACUCUGCCAGCUAGAGGCUGCCAAGCAAGUGAAGCCAGCAGCAGAAUGACAGCUGCUCCCCAUGUCCCCACCAGGGGAGGUAGGCAGGCCCUCCACCAACCUGACUUUAUAAGGCAGAGACAGCUUUGCCUCUGAAUUCAAAUACUACCUGUCUGUGUUCAACUGGGGGCUCUGAGGUCAGAGGUCAGGUUUACCUUAGAGUCAUGGUCUGUACUCCCUGUCAAACGUAUUUAUUCCAGUGACAAUAAACCACAGAGACCCCUAAAAAAAAAAGGAACAA